AAUUUUAUUUUUAAAAAAAUUUGGCUUUGGUUUUAAGUUGGUUUGUUCUGCAAUUACAUAUGGUAGAAAAUCGUGGUGAGAGGUGGGUAAUUUUAGAUUUUUAUUUUAACAAUUUAUUUUUAAAAUUAUUUAUUUUUUUUUGUUUUUGGAAGAAUUAGUAUCUCAACUCCAAUGGGUAGGUUUAAAUAGUGCUGAAAUGUAGUUUUUGGUGUAGAGCUUAAAAAAAGAUAAUAAAGUGCCAGCAUCUGCGGUUAAACUUUUUUUUUGAAUCAAUUUAUUCAUAGUAUAGGGAAAGUAAAGGUUAAAUUGUUUUUUGUUUAUUAGAAAAGUGAAAUUAGAUAGGCGAGAAAAUUUUAGUGUUUAUAAACUUUUAUCUAAAAAGGCUGUUGUAGAGACCGGGAUUAGAGACCCCGUUAUUUAUGUUUUAUAAGAUACUAUGGGGACUACGAACAUUUUGUUUAAAACUUAAAGAGCUUGGCGGUAUUUUAUGUCCGUUUAGGGGAACUUGGCGAUUAAACUGAUAAUCCUCGUAAAACUUUACCUUUUUAAUUCUUUUCAUACCGCCGUUGUCAGUUUAUCUUUAAGAGAGUUGUUAUAAGUUAAAGUGAAUUAUAAAAUAGUUCAGUGAAUUCAGGUAGACGUGAAGGUAAUAAAGAGGGUUUAGCUGAGUUACAUUAUAUAAUAUUACGGAAGAACUUUUGAAAGAUUGUUUUGAAGUUGUACUUUAUAGUAAAUUUUUAAAAGAGAGAAAAUUUGAAUUGUAGUAAUUAAAAUGUGUACAAAUCGCCCGGCACCCUCGUAUAACAAAAUUGAGGUAAGUCGUAACAUAGUAAUGAUACAAUAAUGUGUUGUUAAAUGG
rnacentral:ncRNA from 1 species